AAAGUAUAAGCAAAGACAUGGUAAAGAAAGGAUUCAGGCUAGUCGGACCAACUGUCAUACAUUCCUUCAUGCAAGCGGCUGGCUUUACAAAUGAUCACUUAACAACUUGCCCACGACACCUCCAAUGCCUUGCAUUGGCAUCUCAGACUGGGACCUUUGUAGCGGCAGCUCUAUAAGAUUAUAUAAUAUAUUGAAAAUGAGAUGAGAAUGACCUUUUAUCAUACCACUGUCAUAAAAUCUUGUCCUCCACUGACCCAAGACCUUUUUUUGUGACGAAGGGUUGUUACAUAAUCAAUUAAAUGCAAUUUUUCCAGAUAUGCACUUAUAAUUUCUUUUGUUGAUUAAUACAGUAAAAUAUUAUCACAAAAUAUGUACUCUUCGAGGGUUCCAGAUAUAAAACAUACACAAUUAAGCUAGGAAAAUCUUCUUUUUAAUGAAGUGCUCGUUUGGCGAGGACUGCCAUGUGCAGCUUGAGUGACAGAGCAUGGACUUAAUUCUGAAAAGAAAGAGCAAAUAUGUGCACAAAGUCGGAGUUCCUCCAGGUAUCUGAAGCAGGACUAACUGGAACAUGUGUUACACACAAAAAAUUAAUCAUUUGGCGCAAAAAUAUGUAAAAUCUAUCUUGGUCCCCGAAAACAACACAGUUGGACAAAAAUUAUCCAAGGCGUGCAGAUACAACCAUGGUAGAAGUUCGUAAAGUUUCUUUAAAAAAACCAUCCCAGAACUAGUUGCAGGAUCAAUUGGAUUCUUGAAAGUUAAAAUCAAGCCAUGUGCAUAUGCAGAUAUGCUGUAAAGUUGACAUGAACAGAAUUUGCUUUAUUUAUUUUGACUUCUUUAAGGUCAUGCUCCCCACAGAAUAAAAUCUCUGAUUCUAACACUCACUUCCAGUAGUUUAGUUUUGUGGUAGCAAUAACUCUAAGUCUCAGAGCCCGGAUAACUAACUUGAUCUACAUCGGUUCUACUUGAUGAAUCACAUAUCACGAAAUUAGAGGGAACUUGGAUCUUUUAAUUUCUUAGAUUAUAGGCCUCUUGCGAGAGGAAUAUCUCAGAAACUCUGCUUCUAUCUUGAGAGAAUCUUGUUUCGCUAAGAGCUACUUGCAAUUUGAUCCGGGGGUCCUCUACCCCCGGACCCCAACCCUUAAGAAUAUGCCAAUCUCAGCUCAAAGUUAAAAAUUAUUUCCCCGCGAAAAUGAAAGCAAAAUAAUGCCACAGUAAAGGUCUUAAUCAGCAUUGUAGAGCCCUUUCAACUUUUGGUGGAUCCGUCAACCAGAAUAGCUUAAUUUCAAUUUUACACCGCUUAAAAAAAUUAUCCGCAUUUCUGUACAAAACUAAGCUGCAUUGUCUGGCAAAUUAGCAACACGUAGGACACGGACUCUUUUCUGGCUGUGUAUACCUGUUGCUCGCGAUGAGUCAUUCAAAUCCUGCAAAAUUUGUCGAGGUCUACUGGCAAUAUUUAAAAUGUGGAUCCACUUGUGAUGUUACUGGAGAUGCUUACUCUUAAGCUAAUGAAUUUCAUACUACAGAUAAAAGGGUACCCCAGAAUUAAAUGGUUGCUAUGUGUACAUUGCAUGUUAAUAUGAUUGAAUUGAAUGAAAAUAAUUAAGAAACCGGGCCAUCUCCUCUCUCUAUUGCGAAACUAGAUGCCCUCAGAGACAAUAAGACAGAUCUCUAUGCGCUUUUAGCUUGGAGCUAGUUUCUGUGGUGAGGAUUGCAGGACAUCCCUUCUUAACAUACUUUUUUUUUCACCAUAUUAUGUAUUUUUUAAAUAUACAUGAACCGGAGCUGGGACUCGAAACAUGACCUCUAGCCAUUUCGCAAAGUUUAAAACUAUCAUCUAUGACAUAAUGUGACUUAAUGUGAUAAUCAGUGAUUUCUGAGUAAUUUAUGAUUUAUGAGUAACUCUUUUUAAAAAAAAUAUAAAAAAAUUAAGUUACUGAAAAAAAUAUUCAAACUAACUCUUGCCUUUAAGUCAGUUUCGGAUUUUUUUCGAAUUUUAAACUAACUUCUGCCUAGUUACAUAAACGGCCUCCUCGUCGAUAGUCCGGAAAGAAGGAAAGAGUCAUUGCCACUUGAUUAUACCGACUUAUACAUGGAUACCUUAAUCAAAAAACCGGUGAUUGUCCGUCGUAAAUUCAGAACUAUACUCUGAUAAUCAGAAGUUUGAUUACAUGAUGGUUUCCGUACACGGAUCAUAAGACUGUACUCUCUAUGUAUUACAAUAAUUAUUUAAAUCAAUAAUGUUUUAUAGCACUAGAUAUGAACUUUCUGAGUGCCGACCAAGAAACUAGAUAAAAUAAAAUAGAGGAAAUUGAUGAGAAAUGAUGCAGAUUGUGAAUAAUGGAUGGUUCGUUCGUACGUAGCUACGUGCGCAUAUCGAUCAAGCAUUGCACAUGCUAGAGAUCACAUAAACACACACAAGGUGGAACAAGAUUAAUAUGGAAUACUAAUAGCCUAUAUUAAUACUCUAAUUCCUAGUGAAAGACAUGUUUGAUGCUUAUGUUUCUACCCAAUAGUUCACGAGGGUACAUAAUCACACAAUCCGGAUUAAAAUUUCAGAUUUAUCAAAAAAAAUUUUUAAUAAAUCUUGAAUUAGUAGUUCAAUCAAUUAAUUUCGAUUCUUUUGUUAAAAAAAUUAAUUUCGAUUCUCUAUUUUUACGAUUGACGUGAUUGAUGUAAGAGCAUCUCCAACCAUACAAAGUCCUUGGCUAAAAAAUGAGUUAGGCAUUCCAAAACUAAAAAAUAUAGCCAACGUCCUGAAAAAAUAGCACUCCAACCACACUAAUCUUUUGUCUAUAAUUUUAGCCAACCUCCUAUGGAUGGCUAUAUUUGUCGAACCUCUACAGGUCUGUAAGAAAUUUGUAGGAAGAUUACACAUCAUUUAUUACCAUAUUCAACUGAUAUAUUCUAUUUUAACAAUUUAAAAUAUUAAUAACAUACUAUUUUUAAAUUAUAGCCAAACAGUCAAUACCAUUGAAGCAAAAUGUCUUACAGGUUCAGUAAAUUUUACAUAAUGUUUUACAGGUCCAAUUUAACCAACAAAUAGCCAACACCGUUGGAGAUGCUCUCAGUAGGAUAAGUUGUGGCUGAGGAUCGAGUCAAAUCGAUAAGGGAAAAAAGAAGUAAUAAAUGGGCAAUCAAUCAUGUGUUUUGCCUCGGUUAUGUCUAAGAAAUGCAAGGAAUUAUUGAUGCAAAUAUGUCGGAUCAACACAUGGGCUGUUUCUUUUGUUUCAUUUCAGGCCAAGUAAACUUCUAAUCCUUCAUUAUUUUCAGAGGUUACUUCCUUGUGAUUCUUGCACACGGCUUCUAAACUCAUUGUAUGUAUAAUCCUGUAUCUAUCUUGAUCGACUUGGACAAAAUUUGACCAACUCGUGUUAAAAAAUGUAUCUGUAUCUUGAUGGUGUACUAACUUUGGAUUUACCGGCAACUUGUUAAAAAAUGUAUAAAUUCUAUUACAACAGGUGGGCUGUUUCUUUUUUUUUUUUAAUUUUAUUUUGAUUUUUGGUUUAAAAAGUAUGAUGAAGUAAUUUGAAGUGAUAUUUGCCAUUUCAUAGUGUUUGUGGGUGAGAUUUCUUUUUGUUUUUAGCAAAUAAUAAAGGGAUACUCAAUAUUUGCUUUUGGUGCAUUAUAAAGUUCAUAUAAUUAAUCUUGAUACUCUUGUUUAAAGCAUCCUACGAGUGAGUAGUUUUGAUACUCUUGUUUAAAGCAUCCUACGAGUGAGUAGUUCUCAUGUAAUUAUUCAAUAAAUAAAUUUGGUUAUAGAAAUUGGGAAUCGGAACUAAAUGAUAGAAUUAUCGAUUCAAGAUAGAAAUUUAUCAGACAUUUUUUUAAUAAAUCAGAAAUUAGUCAAAUUGGAGUGUAAUUGAUAAAUUAAUUAAAAAAAUAAAACUAAUUAGAAAUUGGUCAAAAUUUUUAAAUAAAUCAGAAAUUUUUAUAAUACCGUGAAAAUGUGGUUUACGUUUACCACGGUGCUAUAAGGUAUGAUCCACCGGUCAUCAGAAUUAUGGUCUUGUUUGUCAUAGUGUUGCUUUUUUUAUUAUUCCUAGUGUGGAGGAAUACUUAGGUAAUUUCCUAUCAUCUUCUUCCUUCACAUGUCAAGAAGUAUGAAAAGUAUAUGUUUUCAGCACAAUCAGGUAGUUGAAACUUUGAAAUGAAAUGACAAAAACCAAAAAGUGACAAAAGUUAUGAACUACACAAUCACAGUGAAUUUUCUUUCAAGUAAAGUGAAUGUUUUUACCACCAAAUGAAUUUUUUUACCGAAAAUGUCUAUUUGUUAUAUGCUUAAGGGUUUGAAUAUCUGUUAUAAUAUUUUAUAAAAAAACAUAAUUAAAGAUUUUAUUUUCAUAAAAGAUUUCACAUUAUCAUAUUUAAAUGAUAUAUAAUUUAUAACAAUAUAUAAUAUUAAUAACAUAUUAUUUUUAAAAUAUAAUUAGUCAAUAUGACACCACCGUAAAGAUACAAUAUUUUAGGAAUUUAAAUUCUUUUAUACUAUAUUAUGGUGUUUCAAUUUUUCACUUGGUGCUUUGUAAGAUAUUGCUUGCAGCUGAAAACUUAUUAACUUUUGUCCUGCACUGCUUGCUGUUCAAGUUCUUGAUUUACUUUGAGUAUUGAAAUCAUAUUCCUUUCUUCACCAUUACUUAUUUCACUCUCUUAUAUCACAACUAAAUAAAGUUUAGUAUCAACCAAAUGUCAACUAAGUCUCUCUGUAGCCUUUUGCUAUUACUUUAAUUUUGAUUAGUUCCAACAACUAACUGAACUGGAAUUUUAUCUAAUGACUCUUUUCUUGAUUUUGCAUAUUGUGAAAGUUGAGGGACAGAGAGAUAGAAUUAGAUAACAGCUCUAAAGGAAGAGGAAUCAUUGGCCUUCCUGGCCCUCAAGCCUUCUCACUCACUCCAGCUGCAACAGUAAAAGUAACUAGGCCAUGAAAAUCAGGGGCCAUUGGAAUUAUGGGCUGGCUUAGUGCCACUGCCACCACCUAGCCGCUCCCAUUUCGGAUCGAUUUUAAAAUUUGGCACUUUUUGCUCGUUCGCAGUAGAUGGGUAAAAUAUCCGAAGAUAAGUCCAGGUCGCCUGUCAAGGUCAGUUUCGGAUGAGAAUUAGUCUCAUUGAAUGUUAUAUGGGUACCUUCCGGAUGUGAGGAGUUGUUCCGCAUCAGUUGUGGGAGGAGACAAUUUUGAGACCUUUUGGAAGGUGUCAAAAAUAAAACCGUGCGGAUAAGUCCCAAAACAGACAACAUCAUAUUAUUAAGGAAUUAUAGCUUGCUUAGCGGAUCCAACAAGUGGUAUCAGAGCGAGGCUGGUAUAAAUGAUGAUGAAAUCACGACGAGUAAUGUUAUUUUUUUGAAGAAAAACAAAACAAGACAAGUAAUGCAUUUCGGGUUAUGCAGAAAUAAGAAAAGUGAGACUAUUAUUUUGAGACGGGAACGAGUAUUUCUCCAUGCAUGAAACAUGUAAUGUGUACAAUAUUCGAAACUAACCCAUAACCCCAGGUAAGGGGGAAGUAAGGGAGGUAGUGUCAUUUUCAUAUGGUCACAUUAAUCAAAAUAAUAAUGCCCUAAACAAUGGGAUGUAUGGCAGACUCCAACCCUUUCAUGUUACAACCUUGCUAACUCAACCCUACCAUAUUCUCUUUAAAUACCACUUAAUCCCCAUAUCUUUCCCCCAACCUCUUCUCAAAUCAUUUCCAUAUUCCACUUGUAUUCAUUUCCUUCUCAUAACUCUUCAACAUACAAUCAUUUGAACAAAAUACUCAAACCUGAAAAUGUGUUCCUCCAAGCUAAAACUUCAAGAAACCGGUUCUUAUGACAUCAAUGGCCGCCCUGUUCUGCAGCCAACUUGCAACAGAGUUCCACUGAUAGAACGUCGCAAUUCCCUAAAGAAAAACUCCGCAAAAUCUGUCACUGCACCACCAAAGAUCCAAUCUUUACCAACAAAAAUUAGUACCACCCCCACCAAUACUAAUGUGAGUCCUAAAGUAAAGCCUUCAGUAAUCACCCCACCUAUAUCUCCUAAGAUUAAAUCUCCACGACAACCAGCAAUCAAGCGAGGAAACGAUCCAAAUGGAUUGAGUUCUAGUACUGACAAGGUAGUGCUGACACCAAGAACCACUACCAAAGUUGUGACACCGGUGAAAAAGUCGAAGAAAAUUGCACCUUCUGUCGACACCACUACAUUAAAUUACUCACCUUCAUCCAUAGUCGAGGCUCCCGGAAGCAUUGCAGCAGCAAGGAGGGAACAAGUUGCAAAUAUGCAAGUGCAGAGGAAAUCCAAAAUUGCUCAUUAUGGAAGAACAAAGUCUGCAAGGUUUGAGCCUGCAAUAGUACCCCUUGAUGAUGCUACAACUUCUCCAGAAGAAAAAAGAUGCAGCUUCAUUACAUCUAAUUCUGGUACGAAUAACUUCAAGAAUCAUGCAUAUCAAAAAUUACUCAUAAUAAGAAAAAAAUUUUGUCUAUCUAGUCUUAAGUUCCAUGUAUUUUUGCUCUUGCAGAUCCUAUCUAUGUUGCUUAUCAUGAUCAAGAAUGGGGUGUUCCUGCUCAUGAUGACAGGUAAAUAUUCAUAAUUUUUUUGAUUUUCUGAAAUUUCAUACAAGUACAUAACUGGAGGUUAGGAGCUGAUAUAUUUAUGCUUUGCAGGCUGCUGUUUGAAUUGUUAGUAUUAACUGGUGCACAAGUUGGAUCAGAUUGGACUUCGGUUUUAAAGAAAAGACAAGAAUUCAGGGAUGCUUUCGCAGAAUUUGAUGCAGAAACCGUCUCCAAAUAUUCAGAGAAGAAAAUUAUGUCAAUUAGUACUAAAUAUUCUAUAGCUUUGAGCCAAGUAAGGGGGAUUGUGGACAAUUCUAUCCGAAUUCUCCAGGUACUUAAUUAUAUCUUGUCAAUGAUGAUAAAAAAUUAUCCGCAAUCAGACACUAGUGUUCUGUUGUGUUCUGUUCUUAUUUCUUAACCAAUUCUCCUAAUCUUCGUACAGAUCAAGAAAGAUUUCGGAUCAUUUGACAAGUAUCUGUGGGGAUUCGUGAAUUAUAAGCCAAUCGUCACUCAAUACAAAUCAAGCCACAAAAUGCCGGUCAAGACAUCAAAAUCAGAAGGCAUUAGCAAAGACAUGGUAAAGAGGGGAUUCCGGCUAGUCGGACCAACUGUCAUACAUUCCUUCAUGCAAGCGGCUGGCCUCACCAACGACCACUUGACCACCUGUCCGCAGCACCUCCAGUGCCUUGCAUUGGCAUCUCAGACUGGCGCUUUCGUGGCGCCAGCUCUAUAAGACCAUGACAAACACUUGCUAUUAAUUCUACUAGACAGAGUGUAACAUAAUAGCUUAUUUGAUCUCU
rnacentral:lncRNA from 1 species